AUUUAUAUAGUUUAAUAAAAACAUUACAUUUUCACUGUAAAAAUAAAAAUCACUUUUUUAUAAAUU
rnacentral:tRNA from 1 species